CUGUUCAUCUCACAGUUGGACAGUUUGUCCAGAAGGAUGCUGAGAGGGACAGUAUCAAAAACCUUACUAAAAUCCAGAAUGAUUACAUCACAUCCACUGCAUUCCCUUCAUCUGCUAAGCAGGUCACGUUGUCAUAGAAGGAGAUCAAGUUACUAAGGCAGGACUUUUGCUUCAUGAACCCAUGUUGACUAUGCGUGAUGAUAACAGCAUUGUUCUUUAAAUGCCUUUCAAUAGCACCCAGGACAAUCUUCUCUGUAACUUUUCCAGGGACUGAGGUUAAACUAACAGGGAUCUUAAAAAAGAAAAAAAAAAGAAAAGUCAUGUACAUCCAAGAAUUGCCUACUGAUAAGCUGCCAACUGAAACACGUGAAAUCUUUUAGGACAGCUGCAGUCAACUUCAGGAUACACAAGCUCACCCCAUCAUCAUGGUUAUAUGGAAAAACAGAGUGACGUCAGCAUUUCCCAUAUCUUCUGAAAACACUGCUCCCUUUUUCCAAGAAAGGACUGAGGUCAUAUGGAAUUUUAGUUUUUGCUUAAAUGCCUCUUUUCAGGGAUUAACUUUCAUAUAUUCAAAAACAUUACUGUUUGAUGUAAAAGAGUGAUUUGCUGCCGGCUGUAAUCAAAUAGAAUACAAGGGAAACAAAGAAACCAACAGCUUAGACUGAAACUAACCCAGAUCCAAGUGUGUUCUCAAGAAGUCUCUUAACUUGUGCUUUUAUGGACUGAGUAUUUCAAUGAAUCUGUUCUCAGAAACCUCAGCAGAUAAGAGGGGAAGGGAAGGGGAGGGGAGGGGAGGGGAGGGGAGGGAAGGGGAGGGAAGGGAUCACCAAGGAAGGUGGACCUCCUGUGACUGCAGGAAGAGACUAUAGCCUGGGAAUUCUGAUGACCACCUCUGUGUCUUAUUGGCAAAGACUGU